GAUGAACGCUGGCGGCGUGCUUAACACAUGCAAGUCGAACGGGAUCCAAGGGGUGCUUGCACUUUUUGGUGAGAGUGGCGAACGGGUGAGUAACACGUGAGUAACCUGUCCUUUUCUUUGGGAUAAGCAUUCGAAAGGGUGUUUAAUACCUUAUGUUCUGUCUGCCUCGCAUGGGGUGGGUGGGAAAGGCUUUGGCCGGAUUUGGGUGGGCUCGCGGUCUAUCAGCUCGUUGGUGGGGUGAUGGCUUACCAAGGCUUUGACGGGUAGCCGGCCUGAGAGGGUGGUCGGUCAGAUUGGGACUGAGAUACGGCCCGGACUCCUGCGGGAGGCAGCAGUGGGGGAUAUUGCACAAUGGGAGAAAGCCUGAUGCAGCGACGCCGCGUGGGGGAUGAAGGCCUUCGGGUUGUAAACUUCUUUUGCUCUGAACAAGGCAUGCCAGUGGGUGUGUUGAGUGUAGGGGUUGAUUAGCGCCGGCUAACUACGUG
rnacentral:rRNA from 1 species